UGCGUCCUGUGGUGUACGUCAAAACUUUAAAUGUUUGAGCCAACACCGUUACAUUGGGAGCACCGUGUUUCUGAUACAUAUAGCAAGCCUCAAGAAAUGAUAGUGGAAGCUAGAAUUGAAGAACAGGGCACCCACCUGCUAGAUGCAGGUUCAAAACUGAAAGUAGAAACGGCACACAUGGGACAAAA
rnacentral:other from 1 species